AUUGACCACGUGAUCCAGGAGCGAACACAACGUGUUCAGUGAGUUCAUACUCCAUUUGGAGAGAACAGAGAAGAAGGAGGAAAAGUUAAACAAACACCAAGAAGAAGAAAAAACGUUGAGGAGCUCGGGUCCCCAUCCCCAGGGAGCUUGAGGGUUCUGCGCAGUAUCCUUGCUGUUCCUAGGACUGCACUCUUCUGGACUGAGAUUUCGGAUGUUAUUCCAGGGAUCUGUUGUAGCCACUCCUCCAAUUUGGGGGGAAGACAGUCCUAACACAGAAGUUCACUCUGGACUGGGCUGAAGACAAAGCCAACCAGGACAUACACUUCACAUUUCCAUUCACAUUCAGAGAGCUGAAUUUGCUGAAAGAGCAAAAGUUCAGCUUGGUGGAACUUGUUCAUCACUUCUUCAGUGAAACCAAAGCAUCAGGAAUCUGCAGGUUUGAUCAGUUUCAGCUUUUCAUCUUGGACGGUCUGGACGAGUGUCGACUUCCCCUGGACUUCAACAAGACUAAAACCCUGACUGAUGUCACAGAGUCCACCUCAGUGGAUGUGCUGCUGACAAACCUGAUCAGAGGGGAACCUGCUUCCCUCUGCUCACCUCUGGAUCACCACAUGACCUGCAGCAGCCAAUCAGAUCCCUCCUGGGUGUGUUGACAUGGUGACAGAGGUCAGAGGGUUCACUGACCCACAGAAGGAGGAGGAUUCAGGAAGAGAUUCAGAGAUGAGCAGCAGGCCACAACAAUCAUGUCCCACAUCAAGACGUCACGAAGCCUCCACAUCAUGUGCCACAUCCCAGUCUUCUGCUGGAUCACUGCCACGGUUCUGGAGGAGCUGCUGAAAACCAGACAGGGAAGAGAGCUGCCCAAGACCCUGACAGAGAUGUACAUCCACUUCCUGGUGGUUCAGACCAAAGUGAAGAACAUGAAGUAUGAUGGAGGAGCUGAGACAGAUCCACUCUGGAGUCCAGAGAGCAGGAAGAUGAUUAAGUCUCUGGGAAAACUGGCUUUUGAGCAGCUGCAGAAAGGAAACCUGAUCUUCUAUGAGUCAGACCUGACAGAGUGUGGCAUCGAUGUCAAAGCAGCAUCAGUUUAUUCAGGGGUGUUCACACAGGUCUUUAAAGAGGAAAAAGGGCUGUAUCAGGACAAGGUGUUCUGCUUCGUCCAUCUGAGUGUUCAGGAGUUUCUGGCUGCUCUUCAUGUUCAUCUGACCUUCAUCAACUCUGGAGUCAACCUGCUGUCGCAAUUAUCCUGGUUUAAACCUUUUAUGAUGAAACAUAAAACUCCACCGUUCUACCACGUUGCUGUGGACAAGGCUUUAGAGAGUCCAAAUGGACACCUGGACCUAGUCCUUCGUUUCAUCCUGGGAUUUUCUCUUGAGAAAAACCAGUCAUUCUUACAAGGUUUGAUGACACAAAUGAGAAGUAAUUUACAAACCAAUCAGGAAACAGUUCAGUACAUCAAGCAGAAAAUCACAGAGUUUCCUUCUGCAGAAAAAAGCAUCAACCUCUUCCACUGUCUGAAUGAACUGAAUGAUUGUUCUCUAUGGAGGAAAUCCAACGCUAUCUGAAAUCAGGAAGUCUCUCCACAGAUAAACUGUCUCCUGCCCAGUGGUCAGCUCUGGUUUUCAUCUUAUUGUCUUCAGCAAAUGAUCUUGAAGUAUUUGAGCUGAAUAAAUUCUUUGCUUCAGAGGAGGCUCUUCUGAUGUUGCUGCCUGUGGUCAAAGCUUCCAACACAGCUCUACUGAGUAGCUGUAACCUGUCAGAGAGAAGCUGUGAAGCUCUGUCCUCAGUUCUCAGCUCUCAGUCCUCUAGUCUGAGAGAACUGGACCUGAGUAACAACAACCUGCAGGAUUCAGGAGUGAAGCUACUCUCUGCUGGACUGAAGAGUCCUCACUGUCGACUGGAGACUCUCAGGCUGUCAGACUGUCUGCUCUCACAGGAAGCUUGUGUCUCUCUGGCCUCAGCUCUGAGCUCCAACCCCUCCCAUCUGAGAGAGCUGGACCUGAGCUACAAUCAUCCAGGAGACUCAGGAGUGGAGCUGCUGUCUGCUGGAGUCAAGGAUCCACACUGGAGACUGGACACUCUCAGGGUGGAGCCUGGUGGAGUCCGAUGGUUGAGACCAGGUCUGAGCAAGUAUUUCUGUCAACUCACCAUCGACACAAACACAGUGAACAGACAUCUACAACUGUCUGACAACAACAGGAAGGUGACACGUGUGUGGGAGGAUCAGUCAUAUCCUGAUCAUUCAGACAGAUUUGACUUUGGUCCUCAGCUGCUGUGUAGUAAUGGUCUGACUGGUCGCUGUUACUGGGAGGUUGAGUGGAGAGGAUAUAUUUAUAUAUGAGUGAGUUACAGAGGAAUCAAAAGGAAAGGAAUUAAUGAUGACUGUUUGUUUGGAUACAAUGAUCAUUCCUGAAGUCUGUACUGCUCUAAUGGCUGUUACUCUGUCAGACGCAAUAACAUAGUAACACCAUGUCUUGCUCUGUGUCUCACAGAGUAUCAGUGUAUGUGGACUGUCCUGCUGGUUCUCUGUCCUUCUACAGAGUCUCCUCUAACAAACUGAUCCACCUUCACACCUUCAACACCACAUUCACUGAACCUCUUUAUCCAUAUGUGUUAUUAUAAUAUUUGUUUAUUUAUUAAUUUAUGUUGACAUUUUUUUGUUGCACUAUUUUAUAAAACUAUUGUCACUUUCACAAACCCUGUUCUGUGGGUUUGUGGUUCCACAGCAUAAGGCUGAACUGGGUUCAUGUUCUGUCAGGCCUAAAACCUGGUUCCAUAGAGAACUGAUGAGGUGUCUGUACCUGUCUGAGCCUGUGGCUCCGGCUCUUUGUGAUGAAGGCUACAUGCUACCUGUGCAGCUCAGUGUGUUCACAGACACUUGACUUCAGGAGCAGAGAGAGUCCAGUGUCACUAAGUACUGACUACACAUACUGUGUGUUUGGACUAGUUUCUCUGAUUUAGUCAGUAAAGUCAAAGGUUGUAGGUCUAAACUGAGGUAAACACAAGAGUUCAGAGCUGUGUGUAUCAGGGGAUCCCAUGUUUCUACAAAAUCAGUCCAGUUGUUGGUUCAGGUGUAGAACCUGACUCUUGAAGAUGCAUCACGUGAUCAGAGAGGAUUCCCACUAAACAAACACAGGAAGCUUCUCCACCUGCAUCUCUCUUCUUUCACGUCACACGUUGAGUCUGUAAAGUCAAGUGUGAAAUCUGCAGAGUGUUCAACUCAGUGAGAUGAGACCAACAUCAUGACAACCAUCAUAAACUCUAGUUGUGAAAAAAUUUAUCCAGGGACUGAAGGUUGUUCGUUCACAUGGUGUAGUUUAUGGAAAAGAGCAGAAACUGAACCAUCAGUGAUGUUAAACAAUGAGUCUGUUCACACAGAGUCAUGAUCACACCAAUGAAGACUGUAGCUAAAGUCCUGCAGGAAAUGUGGAAUAACGUCUUUGUCUAACUUUACUAUGUCACUCAUGGCCUUGACGUGAAGCUCCUCAAUGACUGACAGUAAUGAUGUCACUCAAAGUGACUGUAACACAGUAAUUUCACAUAAAAAAGUAUUUAUGUGCAGAAAUAAUGAAAACAUAUCAAAAGGCAGCACAGACAGUGCAGGUUCAGCAGCUUGUUUCUACUUUUCCAUCCAUCCCUGUACAUCUGGUUCUGAAACACACACUAAUAGUAGAACUUCACCUGGACGACAAACAGUUUAGCAGCAUCAGUGAACAAGUUGAACUCCUCCUCUGCUUCUUCCCUCUGUGAUGGAGCUGCACUCCUACAAACAAUGUCCUCCCUGUUUCUGAAGCAUUUCUAACACAAAACAGGGCAAACCUGGAUCAGCUGAUUGUCUCCUCCCAUAAAGAACAAGAGCAUCAGUCAAAGGGUCCAGUCGAUGGUUGGACUCAUUCAAACAUUCUAAGAAGGAACCGUGACCUCUGCUGCCUUCUCCACCUGUACACAAUCUAUAAAGACACUUUAUCACAGCUCAUUGAACUCAUAACGUGUAUUUACUUAUUGUAUAAUCCUUUAUUUUACAGUUUCAAUACCCUGCUCAACUCGUUACCUGAGACUGUAACUAAUGUAAACAUGAAAUACUGGAACAGCCAGACAAACGCUUGCUUGAAAAUCCUUGUUCUUUGCUCUGAUUAAACAUAAAACAGCAUCUUUUAGGUAAAUAAGAAAACGUUGACUUGAACAUUACAGUUUUAAUAAAUUAGUCCCAGCAGCAGCUAAGUUAACUAAGAACAGAAUAUAAAACAACUGAUAGUUUGGAUCUCUUUCAUCCUGUGGCAUUGCUUCUUGCUGCUUCCUCAUUACUCUGCUGCUUAAACUCUCCUGGUUUCCUGUAAACAGAGGGGGCGGAGCCUCGGUGAUCACGUGAUCCAGUAGCGAAACCGAACGUCUCCAGUAAGUUCUCCAUUUUGCAAGAACAGAGCAGAAGGAGAAAAAGUUAAAUAAACACCAGUAAGAAGAAGAAGGAACGUUGAGGAGAAGAUGAGUGUUUGUGUGGAGGAAGAGGACGGAGCAGAGUCUCCAGGAUCCAGAUGUGUGACUAUGAAGAAUGACUGGUCCAGAUGUGAACCUCCAUCAUUCAGUCCUGAACCUGGAGCCUCAGACACAAAGUAAGAAC